AGCAGGAACUCAGAUGCUGGUUCUGAUGCCAGGAAUGAGAAAUGAGCCGCGGUUUCUGACGGGCCGACGCCGGAUUCUCCUUCAGGUCUUUUCUCCCUCAGGAAAAUAAAAGCGCUGAUCUCUCACCUCAGGAACAGAAGCAUGUUAGAGGAACAGACACUUAGAGAUCUCUGGAGAGGAAAAAGUUUGGCAGCCAGAGAUUCUGCUGCUUCACACAAAACAGCCUGAAAAAUAAAGAAACAGCAACACAAAGGAACCAGAGCACGGUCCUUUCAAAACGUGUUUCAGACAGGAAGAUCAGUGGUGGGACACCAGCUGCUGACUUCAUUUAUAAAGUAAAUAUCAGCUUGAAUUGGUAAAACAUAAAAGAGAAAGAAACAGCAGCGCAUCGGUUCAAAUGAUCAGUUUCAGAAAUCCUAAUUUAUACUGAGUGGAGAGACUCACAUACUGCAGUUUUCCUGUUGAGUCGAUGAAAAUGUGAGAUCAAACCUUCCAGCUUCCUUCCUGCCUCAGUUUUCCUCUGCUGACAUGAAGAUUGGCUGAUUUCCAGAAGUGGCCGUGCAGAGGGACGCUUUCCGCCAUCGUGUCAGAAGUGAAACAAAACCUUCUGCUGAAUGAAACAUGAGGCGUUUCAGAGAGAAGCAAAUAAAAGUCAGAUUUCUCUGAUUCAGCUGGCAGCGUUUUUACACUCCUGUCUUUUUAUCAUCGUUUGUGAAGCUUCUGAGAACCAGGAUUCUGAUUUAUAAUUUACAGCUUCAGUUGGAACGCCGCGAGAAGAAAUCAUGUUUCUGUUUUAUGUAUUUUCUGCUCAGACUCUGUAAUUUUCUGCCACCAGGACACUUUGGUUCUUCAGGACGUUAAUCUGAGUGGCGGAAACUCAUCCUCCAUGUCAGCUGGUAAUGAAGUGAGAGAACGGCCCAGUCCAAUCAAAUAAACGUCAGCGGAGUGGAGGGAACCUGACGGCUCUGAUUAGACACUGGAUGCAUUAACAGGAUUGUUUUCAGAAACCGAGCUUUGAUAUCCGGAUGGAAGCAGCGUUUCCUUUCACCGUGAAACCAUGACAGAACCCUUUGAUCAAGCUGAGCUCUGAGCUGUUCAUGAUGACCGAACGACGCCGCUGCCAUCUCCCCUCCAGCCGGUUCCACUUCCUGUGGGGAACUUUAAGGGUUAGCAUGGAGGCGUGUGGAGUCUGAAUGCAGCUCUUCAGGUUUCAUUCAGUUGAGUUUUGGAUGCUCUGGAUUUGCUGGGAGGUCCAGAGAUUUCAUGAAUGAUGGACUGAAGAGACUCUUCUUCUCUCUGAAGCUUUUCCUUCCUGGUGUUUAGUGACACAAACCUUCUGAUUAAUAAAACUAAAUAAUCUGAAGCUAAACUGUUUGUCUGAUAUUCUAAAGUUUCCAUCAUUUUUGCUGAGUUUCUGUUUCUGAUUGUGUCGUCUUCCUGCUG